AGCUUUGCGCAGUGGCAGUAUCGUAGCCAAUGAGGUUUAUCCAAGGCGCAAUUAUUGGUCAUUGAAAACCUUUCCCAA
rnacentral:snRNA from 1 species